GGUCCUAUCGUCUAGUGGUUUAGGACAUCACUCUUUCAAGGUGAAGACACGGGUUCGACUCCCGUUAGGACCA
rnacentral:tRNA from 1 species